CCUACGGGAGGCAGCAGUGGGGGAUAUUGCACAAUGGGGGAAACCCUGAUGCAGCGACGCCGCGUGUGGGAAGACGGUCCUCUGGAUUGUAAACCACUGUCCCCAGGGACGAAGAUGACGGUACCUGGGGAGGAAGCUCCGGCUAACUACGUGCCAGCAGCCGCGGUAAUACGGAGGGUGCGAGCGUUAUCCGGAUUUAUUGGGUUUAAAGGGUGCGCAGGCGGAAGAUCAAGUCAGCGGUAAAAUUGAGAGGCUCAACCUCUUCGAGCCGGUGAAACUGGUUUUCUUGAGUGAGCGAGAAGUAUGCGGAAUGCGUGGUGUAGCGGUGAAAUGCAUAGAUAUCACGCAGAACUCCGAUUGCGAAGGCAGCAUACCGGCGCUCAACUGACGCGCAUGCACGAAAGUGUGGGUAUCGAACAGGAUUAGAUACCCUGGUAGUC
rnacentral:rRNA from 1 species